rnacentral:rRNA from 1 species
UACGGGGGGGGCAAGCGUUGUUCGGAAUUACUGGGCGUAAAGGGCUCGUAGGCGGCCAACUAAGUCCGACGUGAAAUCCCAAGGCUUAACCUUGGAACUGCGUCGGAUACUGGAUGGCUUGAAUUCGGGAGAGGGAUGCAGAAUUCCAGGUGUAGCGGUGAAAUGCGUAGAUAUCUGGAGGAAUACCGGUGGCGAAGGCGGCAUCCUGGACCGACAUUGACGCUGAUGAGCGAAAGCUAGGGGAGCAAACGGGG